AUGACAGAGACUGAUGAAGCUCACCAUAUUACAGCUAAAAGAAUCAAGGAGGAAUAUCUGGAAGAUUUUUCAGAUGAUGAACCAUUGAGUAAAGUCUCAAAGAAACAUGAUCCAAAACCUCAGAGAUGGACCAAAACAGCAAACCUGCCAAUGAGACCCAGAAGAGAAAGGAGGGCAACAAUGAAAACGGUUAAUUAUAAAGAGGCUUCCAGUGACAGCUCUGACGAUACACUGACAGAGCAAAAGUCAACCAUGACAGAGACUGGUGAAGCUCACCAUAUUACAGCUAAAAGAAUCAAGGAGGAAUAUCUGGAAGACACCAUUGACAACUCAGAUGACGAAGCAGUGACAGGAAUGAAGUCAACCAAGGCAGAGACUGGUGAAGCUCAUGAUAUCACUGCUAUAAGAAUCAAGGAGGAAUAUCUGGAAGAUACCACUGACAACUCAGAUGACGAAGCAGUGACAGGAAUGAAGACAACCAAGGCAGAGACUGGUGAAGCUCAUGAUUUCACUGCUAUAAUAAUCAAGGAGGAAUAUCUGGAAGACACCACUGACAACUCAGAUGACGAAGCAGUGACAGGAAUGAAGACAACCAAGGCAGAGACUGGUGAAGCUCAUGAUUUCACUGCUAUAAGAAUCAAGGAGGAAUAUCUGGAAGACACCAUUGACAACUCAGAUGACGAAGCAGUGACAGGAAUGAAGACAACCAAGGCAGAGACUGGUGAAGCUCAUGAUAUCACUGCUAUAAGAAUCAAGGAGGAAUAUCUGGAAGACACCACUGACAACUCAGAUGACGAAGCAGUGACAGGAAUGAAGACAACCAAGGCAGAGACUGGUGAAGCUCAUGAUAUCACUGCUAUAAGAAUCAAGGAGGAAUAUCUGGAAGGUAGGACGCCUUUUGUGUGGUUUUCCUGAAAGAAUGAGCACAUUUUCUUCCUUGGGUCAAAAAGUUCCUUUUUGAGUUUCUAAUUGCAAAAUGACAGCUGCAGUUUUUUGAAAGAACAAUAGAAAGAAGCUGCCACAUAAUACACACAAUUUUUUAAUAAUCUUUUAAGUUUUGUUAACAUUGUGAUAGCUAAGAAACCAGUGACAGAGAUCAACUAAAGUCCAACAGCUCCCCAUCUGCUGGUACAAAG
rnacentral:lncRNA from 1 species